rnacentral:rRNA from 1 species
GACGAACGCUGGCGGCGUGCCUAAUACAUGCAAGUUGAGCGCUGAAGGUUGGUGCUUGUACCAACUGGAUGAGCAGCGAACGGGUGAGUAACGCGUGGGGAAUCUGCCUUUGAGCGGGGGACAACAUUUGGAAACGAAUGCUAAUACCGCAUAAAAACUUUAAACACAAGUUUUAAGUUUGAAAGAUGCAAUUGCAUCACUCAAACAUGAUCCCGCGUUGUAUUAGCUAGUUGGUGAGGUAAAGGCUCACCAAGGCGAUGAUACAUAGCCGAACUGAGAGGGUGAGCGGCCACAUUGAGACUGAGACACGGCCCAAACUCCUACGGGAGGCAGCAGUAGGGAAUCUUGGGCAAUGGACGAAAGACUGACCGAGAAACGCCGCGUGCGUGAAGAAGGUUUUCGGAUCGGAAAACUCUGUUGGUAGAGAAGAACGUUGGUGAGAGUGGAAAGCUCAUCAAGUGACGGUAACUACUCAGAAAGGGACGGCUAACUACGUG